GGAUGUAAGGGCGAUCUGGCUAUAACAUCUGUCACCCAAUUGAUCGUCAUAGUUGAUUUGGCUGAUCCAGCUGUCUAGGCGGGUGUCCCGUUCCUCCCUUCCUCUUUUUGUGUGUCCCUCCGGAAGAGAACGAAUGUUUUACUGUUGGAAUAAUUGUUUUAUCAUUUUAUUGUUGUAUGCUUCGGGCUUGGUCCCCAUGUAAGCCGCUCCGAGUCCCCGCUGGGGAGAUGGGGCGGGGUAUAAAAUAAAGUUAUUAUUAUUA
rnacentral:snRNA from 11 species